rnacentral:rRNA from 1 species
UACGUAGGGGGCAAGCGUUAUCCGGAUUUACUGGGUGUAAAGGGGGCGCAGACGGCGAUGCAAGCCAGGAGUGAAGCCCGGGGCCCAACCCCGGGACUGCUCUUGGAACUGCGUGGCUGGAGUGCAGGAGGGGCAGGCGGAAUUCCUGGUGUAGCGGUGAAAUGCGUAGAUAUCAGGAGGAACACCGGUGGCGAAGGCGGCCUGCUGGACUGCAACUGACGUUGAGGCCCGAAAGCGUGGGGAGCAAACAGG